rnacentral:siRNA from 1 species
GCCGCCGUUGGUGUGGCCUCUCGC